CAGGAACAAAUCCACUGGUAAUGUUAAACUUCUGAAGGUUCAUCAGAAGUGAUGUGCCUUUCACACCCAUUACUGCUUCAACUGGCGUCCGUAACAUGGCAUAUUCAAAAUGUUCCGUCUCUGUCCUUAGUGGUGGUUCUGGUGUCUUCCAGGUGUAUGGGCCACCACCAGUAAAUAGAGAAAAGUCACACCCAUAUUUGCCAUUUAAUUGUUUGCUAUUUCUAAGAAGGGGACGAGCAACAGAAGGAGCAGAUCAGAGGGCUUCUCCAAAUUAUCGACCAACUGAUCUGACAGAGAGAGCACAAGGAUGUGCCAACUCUUAGAUUUGAGUCAACAUCAAAGUUGUACAUGGAGCCAUCUCUCCGAGUCCAAGGUACAAAGCCAGGAAAAUGCUCAAUGAAAAUUUCAAGAAGAUGUCGGAGAGCUACUCCAGUCAGAUUGUGUCUAAGCACAAAAGACAGCAGCAAGAGACCUUUGUUGUCUAUGGGAUGGUCUAAAAGUUCUUCCGAAGAUGAACGAAGGUCUUACAGCUUUGGGACGACAUGAGGGCACAAGAUGAAAACAUGUUGCUGUGGUUAUCACCAUGUCAAUCAUCACCAGUGUGUCUGAGACUCACUCACAGAACAAUAAUUUUUUCAGAAACUGUGCACAUGUGAACAUGACCGUUGGUUCUCUUAGCAGCAUAAAAAAACCUUUCAUAUAAUUGUGUGAUCUUUACUCCUUUUAUUCUGUAUGUAGAGUUAUCAUUUUAAUAUCCAAAGGGUUUUCUGUAGUUCAAAGAUAAAACCUUGUUUACACUGACAAACUUGUUAAAACUGAAGAUUUACUGCAGGUCCAGUAAAUGUUAGAUAUUAUCAAUGUUAAAACUAA
ensembl:lncRNA